rnacentral:rRNA from 1 species
UACGUAGGGUGCGAGCGUUGUCCGGAAUUAUUGGGCGUAAAGGGCUCGUAGGCGGUUUGUCGCGUCGGGUGUGAAAACCUCGGGCUUAACUCGGGGCUUACUUCCGAUACGGGCAGACUAGAGGUAUGCAGGGGAGAACGGAAUUCCUGGUGUAGCGGUGAAAUGCGCAGAUAUCAGGAGGAACACCGGUGGCGAAGGCGGUUCUCUGGGACGGUACUGACGCUGAGGCGCGAAAGCGUGGGGAGCAAACAGG